AACGUAGGAGACGAACGUUAUCCGGAGUUACUGGGCGUAAAGGGCGUGUAGGCGGUAUGUUAAGUCUGGCGUGAAAGCUCUCGGCUAAACCGGGAGAGGUCGUUGGAUACUGACACACUAGAAUCUGGCAGAGGGGGGUAGAAUUCCACGUGUAGCAGUGAAAUGCGUAGAGAUCUGGAGGAACACCAGAGGCGAAGGCGGCCUGCUGGGCUGCACCUGACGCUGAGCCGCGAAAGCCAGGGGAGCGAACGGG
rnacentral:rRNA from 1 species